CCUGGUGGCUCAGAGGGUAAAGAAUCUGCCUGUAAUGCAGGANACCCAGGUUCAAUCCCUGGGUCAGGA
rfam:TPA: Bos taurus chromosome 13, whole genome shotgun sequence.